AAAAAAAGAAGAGAAGAAAGGGCACUUGAGAAAGCACGACGACAUGAAGAAGAAAUGGGGCUUAUGAUGUGACACAGAUUAAUAGAGUAGCCUUUGCUGCCUCCCUGUGCAUUCGGGCAUCUGCAACUUGCAGACCUACCAUGAGUGAGGUUACCUACAAGGAUACCAGUGGGUCAUCAAAGGAGAA